AGUGAACGCUGGCGGUAGGCCUAACACAUGCAAGUCGAACGGCAGCACAGUAAGAGCUUGCUCUUACGGGUGGCGAGUGGCGGACGGGUGAGGAAUACAUCGGAAUCUACUUUUUCGUGGGGGAUAACGUAGGGAAACUUACGCUAAUACCGCAUACGACCUACGGGUGAAAGCAGGGGAUCUUCGGACCUUGCGCGAUUGAAUGAGCCCAUGUCGGAUUAGCUAGUUGGCGGGGUAAAGGCCCACCAAGGCGACGAUCCGUAGCUGGUCUGAGAGGAUGAUCAGCCACACUGGAACUGAGACACGGUCCAGACUCCUACGAGAGGCAGCAGUGGGGAAUAUUAGACAGUGGGCGCAAGCCUGAUCCAGCCAUACCGCGUGGGUGAAGGAGGCCUUCGGGUUGUAAAGCCCUUUUGUUGGGAAAGAAAAGCAGCAGGUUGAUACCCCGCUGUUCUGACGGUACCCAAAGAAUAAGCACCGGCUAACUUCGUG
rnacentral:rRNA from 1 species